rnacentral:rRNA from 1 species
UACGUAGGCAGCGAGCGUUGUUCGGAGUUACUGGGCGUAAAGGGUGUGUAGGCGGUCCUCCAAGUUUGGUGUGAAAUCUCCCGGCUCAACCGGGAGGGUGCGCCGAAAACUGGGAGACUAGAGUGCGGGAGGGGAGAGUGGAAUUCCUGGUGUAGCGGUGAAAUGCGUAGAUAUCAGGAGGAACACCGGUGGUGUAGACGGCUCUCUGGACCGUAACUGACGCUGAGACACGAAAGCGUGGGUAGCAAACAGG